rnacentral:rRNA from 1 species
AUUGAACGCUGGCGGCAUGCCUAACACAUGCAAGUCGAGCGGAGCGGCGGACGGGUGAGUAAUGCCUAGGAAUCUGCCUGGUUGUGGUGGAUAACGGCCGGAAACGGGCGCUAAUACCGCAUACUAUCAGAUGAGCCUAGUCCGGAUUAGCUAGUUGGUGGGGUAAAGGCCUACUAAGGCGACGAUCCGUAACUGGUCUGAGAGGAUGAUCAGUCACACUGGAACUGAGACACGGUCCAGACUCCUACGGGAGGCAGCAGUGGGGAAUAUUGGACAAUGGGCGAAAGCCUGAUCCAGCCAUGCCGCGUGUGUGAAGAAGGUCUUCGGAUUUUAAAGCACUUUAAGUAGGGAGGCGUUACCAACAGAAUAAGCACCGGCUAACUUCGUGCCAGCAGCCGCGGUAAUAC